rnacentral:rRNA from 1 species
CCUCGUCUUGUCGUGGAUCGACCU